UUAUAUUUAUAUAAAAAAUUAAUCUUUAAAAAUAAUUUAAAAAUAAUUUCUUUAAAUAUAUAUUUCAUCUAAAUCAAUUCAAUUAACUGAUUAAUACAAAAUUAAAUCAAACCAAAUAUGAUAUCAAACACUUUUCAAUUAAUUCACACUUUCAUCAACAGAUGGAGAGUAGGCUUUGACGCUGCUACCAUCGUUGGAGAGCCUCUUUUGAUCCCAACUGACAAAGGUAUGACGUUGGGGUCGUUUAAAACCAGAAUCUUGGAGGAUAGGGGUCAUCGUUGUCGAAGGAACUAGCUUUUGAAACUCUCCAGAUUCAAGGACUUGGCUUAUUUUCUUGAGAGAAAGGUGAUCUUAAUGGGAAUAGUGAUCAAAAUCCUUACCUAGCACAGUGCGGUGACGCUGGAGGACGGAAGACAUGAGCUGGAGCCUGGAGUCUUCGUUCGCCGGAGCCACAUUGGAAACAGAGCUUCCUUCGUCGAAAUCUUUAGAUGGCUGCGCGGGUUUGAUUUGUCUUGCGGGAUCAAAGGAAUAUAUCCGACAUCUAGGGUUGGGAGGUGGGGAUUGAAACAAGGAUGAACUUGAUCCUGGAUUUGAUUGAAUGACGGAGGACAUCACCAGAAAACUCGGAUCCCGCCGAGCUGGAGCAGAGAAGAAGGAAUGUGAUGCUGAAGACGUCGCCAAGUCCGAGUCUAGGGGCAGCGGCACUAAUAAGUACGGCGUCGUUUUG
rnacentral:lncRNA from 1 species